AUUGAACGCUGGCGGCAGGCCUAACACAUGCAAGUCGAGCGGACGAGGGGAGCUUGCUCCUGGAUUCAGCGGCGGACGGGUGAGUAAUGCCUAGGAAUCUGCCUGGUCGUGGGGGAUAACGUCCGGUAACGGGCGCUAAUACCGCAUCCGUCCUGAGGGUGAAAGUGGGGGAUCUUCGGACCUCACGCUAUUAGCUGAGCCUAGGUCGGAUUAGCUAGUUGGUGGGGUAAAGGCCUACCAAGGCGACGAUCCGUAACUGGUCUGAGAGGAUGAUCAGUCACACUGGAACUGAGACACGGUCCAGACUCCUACGGGAGGCAGCAGUGGGGAAUAUUGGGCAAUGGGCGAAAGCCUGAUGCAGCAAUGCCGCGUGUGUGAAGAAGGUCUUCGGAUUGUAAAGCACUUUAAGUUGGGAGGAAGGGCAGUAAGUUAAUACCUUGCUGUUUUGACGUUACCAACAGAAUAAGCACCGGCUAACUUCGUG
rnacentral:rRNA from 1 species